UCAGGCAGUGCUGGAUCCUUAAUCCACUGAGUGACGCAAGGGAUUGAACCCCUAACCUCAUGGUUCCUAGUCGAUUCGUUUCUGCUGCACCACGAAGGGAACUCCCUGCUUUUCUAUCUAUAAAAGUAAUAUUUGAUAAUUGCAGCAAACUUAGAAAACACAGAUAAAAAAGAAAGGAAAUCAGCCAAGGAAGCAACUCUACAACUGAGUGAAACUAUUGACAGGCAGCCCUGAACCUGGCAACCCGGGGCAACAUAUUCUGAUGAUGGCCUGGGGCCAGAGUCUGAGACCUUUGCAGAGAGAAGCGCUCCUGUGGACUUCAGGCAAGGAGUGACCCAUCACCGACAUUCAGUUCGCUGGCCUUGCCUCGGGCUCCGUCACAUGAAAUAGUGGCUUAUCAUGUUUUUCCAUCAUAUGAUGUGGUCAAGAGAGCCCAAGCACCCACCUGCAAAACUCACUCUUCAUUCCGGAUACUUCUGCUCUACCCCUUUCUAGUUCUUGGCACGAAAUGCAAAGUUCCUUCAGAAAGAAGACCUUGAAAGACAACUUGGCCCUUGGAGGCAGUUCCUGUGAGCCUCACCCUGGCUGAGGCUGAAGUCAGCCCUGCGUUUCCCCGAGUGCCAGGCUGGUCCUGCUCCUGGGGAGAACUCAACCUGCUCCUCUACUCCCUUCCUCCUACCUCUUACCUCCAGGACAGGCCCCAAGGAAGCACCAAGAGGGAUCUCUUCCCUUUUCUGCCUUUUUUUUUGUUUGGUUUUUUUGGUCUUAUUAGGGCCGAACCUGUGGCAUAUGGAAGU